UUGCACGCUGGCGGCAUGCCUUACACAUGCAAGUCGAACGGCAGCGCGGACUUCGGUCUGGCGGCGAGUGGCGAACGGGUGAGUAAUACAUCGGAACGUACCCUGUUGUGGGGGAUAACUAGUCGAAAGAUUAGCUAAUACCGCAUACGACCUGAGGGUGAAAGUGGGGGACCGCAAGGCCUCACGCAGCAGGAGCGGCCGAUGCCUGAUUAGCUAGUUGGUGGGGUAAAGGCCCACCAAGGCGACGAUCAGUAGCUAGUCUGAGAGGACGAUCAGCCACACUGGGACUGAGACACGGCCCAGACUCCUACGGGAGGCAGCAGUGGGGAAUUUUGGACAAUGGGGGCAACCCUGAUCCAGCAAUGCCGCGUGUGUGAAGAAGGCCUUCGGGUUGUAAAGCACUUUUGUCCGGAAAGAAAUCGCGCUGGUUAAUACCUGGCGUGGAUGACGGUACCGGAAGAAUAAGCACCGGCUAACUACGUG
rnacentral:rRNA from 1 species